rnacentral:rRNA from 1 species
UAGCUAGUUGGUAGGGUAAGAGCCUACCAAGGCGACGAUCGGUAGCUGGUCUGAGAGGAUGGCCAGCCACACUGGAACUGAGACACGGUCCAGACUCCUACGGGCGGCAGCAGUGGGGAAUAUUGGACAAUGGGGGGAACCCUGAUCCAGCAAUGCCGCGUGUGUGAAGAAGGCCUGAGGGUUGUAAAGCACUUUCAGUGGGGAGGAGGUUUAGUUGGUUAAGAGCUGAUUGAAUGGACGUUACCCACAGAAGAAGCACCGGCUAACUCCGUGCCAGCAGCCGCGGUAAUACGGAGGGUGCGAGCGUUAAUCGGAAUUACUGGGCGUAAAGAGUGCGUAGGUGGUUGAUUAAGUUAUCUGUGAAAUUCCUGGGCUUAACCUGGGCUUGUCAGAUAAGACUGAUUGACUCGAGUAUGGGAGAGGGUAGUGGAAUUUCCGGUGUAGCGGUGAAAUGCGUAGAGAUCGGAAGGAACACCAGUGGCGAAGGCGGCUACCUGGCCUGAUACUGACACUGAGGCACGAAAGCGUGGGGAGCAAACAGGAUUAGAUACCCUGGUAGUCCACGCUGUGAACGAUGUCAACUAGCCGUUGGUUAUAUGAAUAUAAUGAGUGGCGA